rnacentral:rRNA from 1 species
AAAUGAAUAGACGGGGGCCCGCACAAGCGGAGGAACAUGUGGUUUAAUUCGAUGAUACGCGAGGAACCUUACCCGGGCUUGAAAGUUAGUGAUGGAGCGUGAAAGCGUUCUUCCCUUCGGGGCACGAAACUAGGUGCUGCAUGGUUGUCGUCAGCUCGUGCCGUGAGGUGUCGGGUUAAGUCCCAUAACGAGCGCAACCCCUACCGUUAGUUGCCAUCAGGUAAAGCUGGGAACUCUGACGGGACUGCCGGUGUAAGCCGAGAGGAGGGUGGGGAUGACGUCAAAUCAGCACGGCCCUUACGUCCGGGGCGACACACGUGUUACAAUGGUGAGUACAGAGGGUCGCUACCCUGUGAAGGGAUGCCAAUCUCGAAAACUCAUCUCAGUUCGGAUCGGAGGCUGAAACUCGCCUCCGUGAAGUUGGAUUCGCUAGUAAUCGCGCAUCAGCCAUGGCGCGGUGAAUACGUUCCCGGGCCUUGUACACACCGCCCGU